GAAGGAUUCGAGCGUUAUCCGGAUUUAUUGGGUUUAAAGGGUGCGUAGGUGGACUAAUAAGUCAGUGGUGAAAGCCCGCAGCUUAACUGCGGAACUGCCAUUGAUACUGUUAGUCUUGAGUACAGUUGAGGUGGGCGGAAUGUGUCAUGUAGCGGUGAAAUGCUUAGAUAUGUCACAGAACACCAAUUGCGAAGGCAGCUUACUAUGGUUUUAUUGACACUGAGGCACGAAAGCGUGGGGAUCAAACAGGAUUAGAUACCCUGGUAGUCCACGCCCUAAACGAUGAAUACUCGAUGUUGGCGAUAUACGGUCAGCGUCUAAGCGAAAGCGUUAAGUAUUCCACCUGGGGAGUACGCCCGCAAGGGUAA
rnacentral:rRNA from 1 species